CCCAUGCAUAUAUGAUGAUACACAUGUUGGUAGGGACAUCUGAGUAAAGUGAAGAAUGCCAACUGUUCUGACCGCAUGGG
ensembl:snoRNA